rnacentral:rRNA from 1 species
AGAGUUUGAUCCUGGCUCAGAACGAACGCUGGCGGCAUGCUUAACACAUGCAAGUCGAACGCUCCGCAAGGGGAGUGGCGCACGGGUGAGUAACGCGUGGGAACCUGCCUUUGGGUUCGGAAUAACUGCGGGAAACUGCAGCUAAUACCGGAUACGUCGGGCUGCUGUGGUGGCGGCUCGGGAAAGAUUUAUCGCCCGAA